GAUGAACGCUAGCGAUAGGCUUAACACAUGCAAGUCGAGGGGUAGCAGGGGUUUAGUUUACUAAAUCUGCUGACGACCGGCGCACGGGUGAGUAACGCGUAUGCAACUUGCCCUGUACUACUGGAUAGCCCGGCGAAAGUCGGAUUAAUACAGUAUAUUGUUUUUAUACCGCCUGGUAUUUAAAUUAAAGAUUUAUCGGUACAGGAUAGGCAUGCGUUCCAUUAGCUAGUUGGUAAGGUAACGGCUUACCAAGGCAACGAUGGAUAGGGGGAACUGAGAGGUUUAUCCCCCACACUGGAACUGAGACACGGACCAGACUCCUACGGGAGGCAGCAGUGAGGAAUAUUGGUCAAUGGACGAGAGUCUGAACCAGCCAAGUCGCGUUGAAGGACCACUGCCUUAUGGGUUNUAAAACCUUCUUUUAAUAUAGGAAUAAAAAGACAUACGAGUAUGUUAUUGCAUGUACUAUAUGAAUAAGCAUCGGCUAACUCCGUGCCAGCAGCCGCGGUAAC
rnacentral:rRNA from 1 species